ACUGCGAGUGAAGCGGCAAAAGCUCAAAUUUGAAAUCGGUGACGUCUAAACGCAUCGAGUUGUAAUUUGGAGGGACAGUUUCGGGGAGGACCACAUCGUAAGUUCCUUGGAACAGGACGUCAUAGAGGGUGAGAACCCCGUGCCGCGGUGUGAGUGCAACCCAUGUGAAACGUCUCCGACGAGUCGAGUUGUUUGGGAAUGCAGCUCAAAAUGGGUGGUAAAUUUCAUCUAAAGCUAAAUACUGGCGAGAGACCGAUAGCGCACAAGUAGAGUGAUCGAAAGAUGAAAAGCACUUUGAAAAGAGAGUCAAAAAGUACGUGAAAUUGUUGAAAGGGAAGCGCUUGCGACCAGACUCGAUCAUUGGUGAUCAGCCGGGCUUCGGUCCGGUGCACUUGCCAUUGACCGGGCCAGCAUCGGUUCCGACGGUGGGAUAAAAGUGGAAGGAAUGUGGCUCCCUCCGGGGAGUGUUAUAGCCUACCGCACAAUGCCGCCAGUUGGGACCGAGGACCGCGCUUCGGCUAGGAUGCUGGCGUAACGGUCCUAAGCGACCCGUCUUGAAACACGGACCAAGGAGUCUAACAUCUAUGCGAGUGUUCGGGUGGAAAACCCUUGCGCGGAAUGAAAGUGAACGGAGGUGUGAACCCUUUGCGGGGUGCAACAUCGACCGGUCCCGAUGUUUUUUUCGGAAGGAUCUGAGUGAGAGCAUAGCUGUUGGGACCCGAAAGAUGGUGAACUAUGCCUGAAUAGGGUGAAGCCAGAGGAAACUCUGGUGGAGGCUCGCAGCGGUUCUGACGUGCAAUCGAUCGUCAAUUUGGGUAUAGGGGCGAAAGACUAAUCGAACCAUCU
rnacentral:rRNA from 1 species